rnacentral:misc_RNA from 1 species
GAUGGAGAACGCAGCGAAAUGCGAUAAGUAAUGUGAAAUGCAGAAUUCAGUGAAUCAUCGAAUCUUUGAACGCACAUUGCGCCCGCCAGCACUCUGGCGGGCAUGCCUGUUCGAGCGUCAUUUCAACCAUCAAGCCCCCAGGGGCUUGUGCUGGGGCCCUGCGGCUGCCCGCAGGCCCUGAAAACCAGUGGCGGGCUCGCUAGUCACACCGAGCGCUGUAGCACAUCUCGCUCAGGGCGUGCGGCGGGCUCCUGCCGUGAAACCCCCCACUGUAACCCCAAAGGUUGACCUCGGAUCAGGUAGGAAUACCCGCUGAACUUAAGCAUAUCAAUAAGCGGAGGA